rnacentral:tRNA from 1 species
UCAGCUUUGACACAGUAGGUAGCGUGUUAGUCUGGCAAGCUGAAGGUCCCAAUUUCAAUCCUUGGAAGAAGGG